UAGCCAGACUCCUACGGGAGGCAGCAGUGGGGGAUAUUGCACAAUGGGGGGAACCCUGAUGCAGCGACGCCGCGUGGGUGAAGGAGUGCUUCGGCAUGUAAAGCCCUAUCGGCAGGGAAGAAGCAAGACGGUACCUGACUAAGAAGCCCCGGCUAACUACGUGCCAGCAGCCGCGGUAAUACGUAGGGGGCGAGCGUUAUCCGGAUUCACUGGGUGUAAAGGGAGCGUAGACGGCCAUGCAAGCCAGGGGUGAAAGCCCGGGGCCCAACCCCGGGACUGCCCUUGGAACUGCAUGGCUGGAGUGCGGGAGGGGCAGGCGGAAUUCCUGGUGUAGCGGUGAAAUGCGUAGAUAUCAGGAGGAACACCGGCGGCGAAGGCGGCCUGCUGGACUGCGACUGACGUUGAGGCUCGAAAGCGUGGGGAGUGAACAGGAUUAGAUACCCCGGUACGG
rnacentral:rRNA from 1 species